rnacentral:rRNA from 1 species
UACGUAGGGUGCGAGCGUUAAUCGGAAUUACUGGGCGUAAAGCGUGCGCAGGCGGUUUGCUAAGACCGCUGUGAAAUCCCCGGGCUCAACCUGGGAACUGCAUUGGUGACUGGCAGGCUAGAGUAUGGCAGAGGGGGGUAGAAUUCCACGUGUAGCAGUGAAAUGCGUAGAGAUGUGGAGGAAUACCGAUGGCGAAGGCAGCCCCCUGGGCCAAUACUGACGCUCAUGCACGAAAGCGUGGGGAGCAAACAGG